AACGAACGCUGGCGGCAUGCCUAACACAUGCAAGUCGAACGAGACCUUCGGGUCUAGUGGCGCACGGGUGCGUAACGCGUGGGAACCUGCCCUUAGGUUCGGAAUAACUCCCCGAAAGGGGUGCUAAUACCGGAUAAUGUCUUCGGACCAAAGAUUUAUCGCCUUUGGAUGGGCCCGCGUUGGAUUAGCUAGUUGGUAGGGUAAAAGCCUACCAAGGCGACGAUCCAUAGCUGGUCUGAGAGGAUGAUCAGCCACACUGGGACUGAGACACGGCCCAGACUCCUACGGGAGGCAGCAGUGGGGAAUAUUGGACAAUGGGCGAAAGCCUGAUCCAGCAAUGCCGCGUGAGUGAUGAAGGCCUUAGGGUUGUAAAGCUCUUUUACCCUGGAUGAUAAUGACAGUACCGGGAGAAUAAGCUCCGGCUAACUCCGUG
rnacentral:rRNA from 1 species